rnacentral:ncRNA from 1 species
CGCGACUCCGCGGUCUACGGCGGCGCGCAAUCAUCUGCUAGUCCGCCCGUCACGGCACGGGGCGGAAGACGAGAGGA